AUCCAGCUGACGAGUCCCAAAUAGGACGAAGCGCACCUUCAAACUGGUU
rnacentral:hammerhead_ribozyme from 1 species